UUUGAUACGACGUCGUAGGCCUCAUGAGUGGUCUGAUGGCGCUCAAUCGGUUAGAGGAGGGUUGAGAUCCAACGGCCGGAAACUUUCUAAAUCACAAAACCCAGGCAAGAUGGACUCAACAGCGGUCACUUCCAACUCGGUAACUGACUCAACGAGUCACUCACCUUCUUUCUCAAACACCAAACCCUUCCUUUUCACUCUUCUUUUCUCUACCUCUGCACUGACGCCUUCUCUCUGAGCCCUUUUCGGUCUUUUUACCACAAUCUCCUUCUCUCCUAAUCAGACGGUCCACACCUAUCCACGUCGCUAUCGUCUUCUUCAUCAUCAUCGUCAACAUCAUCACCUCUCACUCUUUCUUCUAGCUAUCUCCUUAUAUUAUUAAACCGCGGCUUUCUUAGGGUUUCUCUUAUUGACAUAUAAAUCCAAAAUUAUGAUAACAACUGUCUCCGAAAAUAUUCGCCACUUCUCGCACCGUAGAUCACGUUUCGAAUUUGCUGCUUAACCCUUCAAUUUCUAAUUCAGUCUCAAUUUAUUGCGAAUGAGGUACUUUUUGGGCAAUAUCUGAAAUUGUUGUUCUUUUUCGCAUUUGACAGGUUUUUUUUUUUAUUUGUUUGAUUGAGUCACGGUGAAAAUUUUUGAAAUUCGGUGAUUAACGAAUUUUAUAUUAGGAAUUGUUAUUGUGAUUUGUGAUUAAUGGCGAUAGAGAAGAACAAUUUCAAGGUUUCUCGUUUUGAUUCGGAGUUUUCUCCGAAUAGUAGGGGGACUAUGUCAAGUGAUGAGGACGAGCUUCAAAGACGAAGCUCAGCCGUUAAUGAAUCAUCUGAUGAUGAUGAUGAGUAUGAUGAUGCAGAUUCCGGUGCUGGUUCGGAUGACUUUGACUUGCUUGAAUUAGGUGAAACCGGGGCAGAGUUCUGCCAAAUUGGGAACUUAACUUGUACUGUUCCUUUUGAAUUGUAUGAUCUUUCGGGUUUAGAAGACAUAUUGUCUGUUGAUGUGUGGAAUGAAUUGUUAACUGAUGAGGAGAAGUUUGGGUUAGCCAAGUAUUUACCUGAUAUGGAUCAAGAUACUUUUACAAGGACGUUGAAGGCCCUUUUUGAGGGUGAGAAUAUCCACUUUGGGAGUCCGAUUAAGAAGUUGUUUAAUAUGUUGAAAGGGGGCUUGUGUGAGCCAAGAGUAGCACUUUAUCGGGAGGGAUGGAAUUUCUUUCAGAAGCGGCAACAUUAUCAUCAUUUGAGGAAGCAUCAAAAUACUAUGGUUAGCAAUAUUUGUCAAAUGAGGGAUGCAUGGAGUAACUGUAGGGGGUAUAGUAUUGAGGAAAAGCUUAGGGUUUUGAAUAUUGUGAAGAGUCAAAAGAGCUUGAUGUAUGAGAAGAUGGAGGAUUUUGAGAGUGAUUCAUCAGGACAAGAGGAAUCAGGGGAUGGGUUCAGGAGCAAAAUGCUUGAGGAUAGAAAAUCUUUUCAAAAAAUGCGGCAUCGUUCUCCAUAUGCGGUGGGUUCAGAUUUGGAUUUUCCUCAAGGACAGCUGAUGAGUUUGGAACCAGUAAAAUACGGGAAGCAGAAUGCAAAAGUUACCUUGAAGAAGGCUGGGUCAAAAUUGCAUUCUGGGGGCCGCUUUAUGGAUAUGAGUUCUGGGCCAUAUGGUUCAGGAGUAACUUCUCGAAUGAAUAAAGGAGCAGGGUAUGAGUCAAGGGUUUCUCUACGGAGAAGGGAUCAGUUUGUUAACAAUGAUAAUGAUGUUGAAGAUCCAUUGUUUGGAGGGGGUAUUCAAAGGGAUCAAAAUUUUGCACGGGGUAGCAUGACAGAAAAAUCUGGCGUUUUGAAAAUGGGAAAGAAGCCCGACUUUUUGAGAGGUGAGGAAUCAGGCAGUGAUGGCUUCAUGGGUUUGUCUAUCUCAGCAAGGCAUGAUUUACAGGCCUAUCGUAAAAACAAGAAUAUAAGUCAGUUGUCUGAGGCAAAUGCAUAUACAUCAAACCCUUCUACUGUGAGAAAGUUUUCAAAGAGGGCUAAGUAUCCUGCAAAUUCCCAGCAAACAGUUGGAGACUUAAUUAAGUCUCUAAAAAACCGACCACAGCUACCACUGAAAGGAAGUCGAGCAGAAUUGUUGGAUCAUGAAGAACCAUGGUAUAACAGAACUCAAGGAGAGACAUUCUCCUAUGAUUUGCCUUUUAAAUCUGAUGAUUGGCAUAGUAGAAGCAAAAAAUGGAAGAUAGGGAAAGUGUCUCCUGAUAUCAAGUUUAGAUCAUACAAAGCUUCCUCACCGAUGAGUGAUAGAUUCCUACAUUCUGAGUUCAGAGUGAAGCCGUCACAGGAGAAGAGGAGAGGGAAUUUCGUAAAGAACGGAGGGUGGGAUAUGACAGCAGUGAGAGGUAAGAGAAAGCAUGUAAAAAAUGAAGAAACAGAAUCAGACUCAUCUGAGCAAUUUGAUGAUGAUAAUGAUGAUGAUGAUGACGAUGACGAUGACGACAUCAAUCCUAUAAUGAGGAGAAAGUUAGCCUACCCUGGUGGUGUUGCUGAAGGCUCUCAAUUUUCUUCACUGAAGUCAGGUCUGGAUGCUCGGAAGUCCAAAUUUAUAAAGAAAGAUAAACUAGAGAAUACAUGGGCGCUUGACGGAAUCACAAAUUCAUCCAACAUGAUGGAUGGCUUUAGCGAGCAUGCACAAAUACCGGGUAUGAAGAACUACUCUUUGAAAGCAAAAAGAAAGGGCAAGAUGAGUGAUAACAGUCCCUUCCAUAAUUCUACUGCUAGAGUUUUGGAAGAUAGCUCUCUGUCAGGCUUGGGAAAAUUUAAAGAUAAUGAUGACAGGAAACCUAUCCGCAAAUUUGGCAAGAAUGGCCAAUUAUGGGAGGAACAUGGAGAAAGGAUGCACCUGUCCUCACUGAAGGCCUUUCUUGCUGAGAGAAAGCAGAAAGCAGAACUUGCCGUUGAAUAUAUUGUUGAUGAGGAUGAUGAUUCACUUGAAACACAAUUAUUGGUUAAUGGUGGCAAACUGGGCAGAGUGGGGAAGAAAGGUAGGGAAAAAUCUGAGGCUUCAUUAGUAGAGUGCAAUUUGGUGAUGAAGAAGAGAAAAGCGAAAGGGGAUGUGAUGGAUGUGGAUGGGAGAGAUCAGCAACAAAUUGAUGAUUCCACUUUCUUGAAGAAGAAGGGAAAAAGGAAACUGGAGGCUGAUGCUGGUACUCCAUAUUUGGAAACUUCUGAACUACCUGUUGCAGAAGUAGGAACUGCUGGUCUUGAGCUGGAAACUAAACCACAAAAAAGGCCUUUUACUUUGAUUACACCUACAGUUCAUACUGGCUUCUCAUUCUCCAUUAUACAUCUUCUUUCAGCAGUUCGUAUGGCAAUGGUUACUCCACUUACAGAAGAUUCAUUAGAAGUUGGCAAACCUAUAGAGGAGCAGAGUGAAAAGCAUGAAGCUGAAGUUAAUGGUGUUGCUUCUAACGAGAAUGGUGAGGUCAGUAACUCAGAUCAGUCUGGGCAAGGGAAGUUGCCAUCUCUUCCUGUUCAGGAGAUUGUUAACCGUGUGAGAUCAAACCCUGGGGAUCCUUGUAUUCUUGAGACACAGGAGCCACUUCAGGAUUUGGUCAGAGGAGUUCUCAAGAUAUUUUCGUCAAAAACAGCACCUCUGGGGGCAAAAGGGUGGAAGAUGCUUGUGACGUAUGAAAAAUGUACGAAAAGUUGGUCCUGGGUUGGGCCAGUGUCUCAUAACUCAACUGAUCAUGAGAUGAUUGAGGAGGUGACUUCUCCUGAAGCUUGGGGAAUUCAUCACAAGAUGCUUGUCAAGUUGGUUGAUUCAUUUGCAAAUUGGCUGAAAAGUGGUCAGGAAACCCUUAAACAGAUAGGAAGUCUUCCUGCUCCUCCUGCAUCGUUGAUGCAAUUCAACCAGGAUGAGAAAGAUCGGUUCAGAGACCUAAGAGCUCAGAAGAGCCUUAACACUAUUAGCCCAAGUACUGAAGAAGUGAGAGCUUAUUUUCGUCGGGAAGAAGUCCUUAGAUAUUCCAUUCCUGAUAGGGCUUUCUCUUAUACAGCUGCUGAUGGCAAAAAAUCCAUUGUUGCACCAUUGAGAAGGGGUGGUGGUAAGCCAACUUCAAAAGCCCGAGACCAUUUUAUGUUAAAACGUGAUCGACCACCACAUGUUACAAUCCUGUGUCUUGUGAGAGAUGCAGCUGCCAGAUUACCUGGUAGUAUUGGCACCAGGGCAGAUGUUUGUACUUUAAUAAGAGACUCUCAAUAUGUUGUUGAAGAUGUUUCUGAUGCGCAAGUUAACCAAAUUGUUAGUGGAGCAUUGGACCGUUUGCAUUACGAACGUGAUCCUUGUGUGCAAUUUGAUGCUGAGCGGAAAUUGUGGGUUUAUUUACAUAGAUAUAGAGAAGAAGAAGAUUUUGAGGAUGACGGAACUUCAUCUACAAAGAAAUGGAAGAGGCAGAAAAAAGAUCCUACUGAGCAAUCUGAACAAGCAGCAGUAACUGUGGCUUUUCAUGGGACUGGUGAUCAGGCUGGAUAUGAGUUGGGCUCCAAUCUCAAUGUUGAGCCACCAACUAUUGAUGAUGAUAAGAAACCAGAGACAGGUGAUGGUAGACCAAAUGCAGAGGACAAUGUCAAUAACAAUCAUGGGUCUGAGCAAGGUAACACACACCAUGGUCAUCCCAUGGUUUGGGAGGCUCUUGACUUAAAUCCUGUGCAAGAGAACAAGUUACUAUGCCAAGAAAAUUCAAAAAAUGAAGAUUUUGACGAUGAAACAUUUGGAAGAGAAAGACAAGUUGGACUCUUAAGCGCAAGCUUAUUGUGAUGAAAUUUUCAGGUUUAAAUGUUCACCUAUAUUUGAAGGCAACAUUCCAGUUGAUGUUGUGUUUUAUAGAUUGAAGAUUACAUGUAUAUGGGUUCCAGUGCUAAUUUAGAUUAGCUAGUCAAUUUGUUGAGGCCAAGAAUAUGUUCAGUGCAGGUAAGUUAAGAUCAUUGCUUGCAACUUAGGGAGGAUGAUGUUUACAUUAUGCUUUUCUCUUGAAAGCCCCAUAGGUGGUGGCAGUGGCUGUGGUGGACUCCUAAUUUUCUAUCUGUGUAUUGUAUGUGCAUCUGCGUAGAGGGAUGGAAGUUGAAGGUAUGUUGUUCCUCACUGUAUUAUGGGUUUUUGCUGCCUUUACAAGCUUGACAUGCGAGGUUUCUGAUGUUAAUUUGUAUCAUUCUAAGUAAUGCAGGUUGUCUAUCCAACCUGCCUGGGGGCUUUGGCGCUUCUUUUGUUGUUUUUAUUUGUGCAACAAUGAAGGGGCUAUUAAUUAUGUAAUUUGCAAGUUUUAGAUAUAUGUAGCCAUUCAUCCCAGAUGUAGCUGAGGUACCCGACUUGGGCUGGGUAGAUAGUUAAUGUUUUAAACCACCUUAGUUAAAAUGUGCUUGUAGAAAUGUUGAGCGGGCCUUGAUGUUGGAAAAUCAGCCACUCAACGGGCGCAUGUGACUGUAGCCUUCCUCCAAAAUUGCCCAAUUCCAGCUUUACAUCUCACUAAAUGGGCCAUGUAAAAUUUUAAACUCUUUGACCCAUUAACGCUGAUCAACAUAGAAACUGUUUGUGCCAAAA